AGAGUUUGAUCCUGGCUCAGGACGAACGCUGGCGGCGUGCUUAACACAUGCAAGUCGAACGGAAAGGCUCCUUCGGGGGUACUCGAGUGGCGAACGGGUGAGUAACACGUGGGUGAUCUGCCCUGCACUUCGGGAUAAGCUUGGGAAACUGGGUCUAAUACCGGAUAGGACUACAAGGCGCAUGUUUUGUGGUGGAAAGCUUUUGCGGUGUGGAAUGGGCCCGCGGCCUAUCAGCUUGUUGGUGGGGUGAUGGCCUACCAAGGCGACGACGGGUAGCCGGCCUGAGAGGGUGUCCGGCCACACUGGGACUGAGAUACGGCCCAGACUCCUACGGGAGGCAGCAGUGGGGAAUAUUGCACAAUGGGCGCAAGCCUGAUGCAGCGACGCCGCGUGGGGGAUGACGGCCUUCGGGUUGUAAACCUCUUUCACCAUCGACGAAGGCCUGGCUUUUGUUGGGUUGACGGUAGGUGGAGAAGAAGCACCGGCCAACUACGUGCCAGCAGCCGCGGUAAUACGUAGGGUGCGAGCGUUGUCCGGAAUUACUGGGCGUAAAGAGCUCGUAGGUGGUUUGUCGCGUUGUCCGUGAAAUUCCAUGGCUUAACUGUGGGCGUGCGGGCGAUACGGGCAGACUGGAGUACUGCAGGGGAGACUGGAAUUCCUGGUGUAGCGGGAAUGCGCAGAUAUCAGGAGGAACACCGGUGGCGAAGGCGGGUCUCUGGGCAGUAACUGACGCUGAGGAGCGAAAGCGUGGGGAGCGAACAGGAUUAGAUACCCCCGUAGUCC
rnacentral:rRNA from 1 species